rnacentral:rRNA from 1 species
AACGAACGCUGGCGGCAUGCCUAACACAUGCAAGUCGAACGAGACCUUCGGGUCUAGUGGCGCACGGGUGCGUAACACGUGGGAAUUUGCCUCGGGGUAUGGAAUAAACUCAGGGAAACUUGAGCUAAUACCAUAUAAUGUCUUCGGACCAAAGAUUUAUCGCCCUGAGAUAAGCCCGCGUAGGAUUAGCUAGUUGGUGGGUAAAGGCUCACCAAGGCGACGAUCCUUAGCUGGUCUGAGAGGAUGAUCAGCCACACUGGGACUGAGACACGGCCCAGACUCCUACGGGAGGCAGCAGUGGGGAAUAUUGGACAAUAGGGCGGAAAAGACCUGAUCCAGCAAUGCCGCGUGAGUGAUGAAGG